UGUACACGCUGUGACUAGCAUAUCAAUAAGCGGAGGAAAAGAAACUAACAAGGAUUCCCCUAGUAACGGCGAGUGAAGCGGGAAGAGCUCAAAUUUGAAAUCUUAAAGGGUUUCCCUUUACGAAUUGUAGUUUAAAGAAGUGUUUUCUGUUGAGGUUUUGGUAAAAGUUCUUUGGAAUAGGACAUCAUAGAGGGUGAGAAUCCCGUAUUUGACCUUUACUUUCAACUUUGUGAUACACUUUCAAAGAGUCGGAUUGUUUGGGAAUGCAGUCCAAAAUGGGUGGUAAAUUUCAUCUAAAGCUAAAUAUUGGCGAGAGACCGAUAGCGAACAAGUACCGUGAGGGAAAGAUGAAAAGAACUUUGAAAAGAGAGUUAAACAGUACGUGAAAUUGUCAAAAGGGAAGCGUUUGACACCAGUGUUGUUUUUCUGAAAAUCAAUUAAAGAACUGUUUAUGCUAGCUAAGCUGUUUAGACUUUAUCAGCUAUCUGUUUAGUUUUGAGCUUUUCUUUAAUGCACUUUUCAGUUAACAAGUCAACAUCAAUUUCUUUUGCUGUAAAAAAGCUUGAGGAAGGUGGCUUGAGAUUCGUCUUAAGUGUUUAUAGCCUCUUGCCUAUGCAGUCGGAGAGAUUGAGGUCUGCAGCGUAGAUCCUUCGGGGCUAAAUGCAUUUGUGCUAAGUUAUAGCAUUUUAUAGACAACUUGUUGACUAUGAUUUGUCUUGUAGCUUACUCGCUUAUGUUAUUUUACCUACGCUUAGGAUGUUGAAGAUGUAGCACAUCAU
rnacentral:rRNA from 1 species